rnacentral:rRNA from 1 species
GUGCCAGCCGCCGCGGUAAUACAGAGGGUGCAAGCGUUGUUCGGAAUUAUUGGGCGUAAAGGGAGUGUAGGCGGUUUGUUAAGUCUUCUGUGAAAUCUACGGGCUUAGCCUGUAACGUGCAGAGGAAACUGGCAGACUUGAGUGUCGGAGAGGAUAGGGGAAUACCCAGUGUAGAGGUGAAAUUCGUAGAGAUUGGGUGGAACACCAGUGGCGAAGGCGCCUGUCUGGCUGACAACUGACGCUGAGACUCGAAAGCAUGGGGAGCAAACAGGAUUAGAUACCCCUGUAGUCC